GAGAAAGUAAGAAAGGGCGCAAGGUGGAUGCCUUGGCUCACAGAGGCGAUGAAGGACGUGAUAAGCUGCGAUAAGCCGCGGGUAGGUGCAAAUGACCCUUGAUCCGCGGAUUUCCGAAUGGGACAACCUGUCAGGCUGAAGGCCUGUCAUCCUGCUUUUUUUUGCAGGAGGCUAACGCGGGGAACUGAAACAUCUUAGUACCCGCAGGAAGAGAAAAUAAACAAUGAUUCCCCAAGUAGUGGCGAGCGAACGGGGAAGAGCCCAAACCGCCGGUGUAGCGAUGCACCGUCGGGGUAGUAGGACCACGCCGUGGCAUCAGAGCGGUGAGCGGAACUGUCUGGAAAGUCAGACCACAGAGGAUGAAAGUUCCGUACGCGAAGCUGCGAUGAGCCUAGUGGUAUCCUGAGUAACGCGGGACACGAGGAAUCCUGCGCGAAUCUGCCGGGACCAUCCGGUAAGGCUAAAUACUCCUGUGAGACCGAUAGCGUACCAGUACCGUGAGGGAAAGGUGAAAAGCACUCCGACGAGGAGAGUGAAACAGUACCUGAAACCUUGCGCCUACAAGCGGUCGGAGCCGAGCAAUCGGUGACGGCGUGCCUUUUGCAUAAUGAACCUACGAGUUACCAUCACCGGCGAGGUUAAGGUGUUCAGCACCCGAGCCGCAGUGAAAGCGAGCCUGAAUAGGGCGUAUAUAGUCGGUGGGGGUAGACGCGAAACCAAGUGAUCUACACUUGGCCAGGGUGAAGUCCCGGUAACACGGGAUGGAGGCCCGAACCAAUAAGCGUUGAAAAGCUUCUGGAUGAGCCGAGUGUAGGAGUGAAAGGCCAAUCAAACUUGGAGAUAGCUCGUACUCCCCGAAAGGCAUUUAGGUGCCGCCUCGGUUGUUCCUGAUAUGAGGUAGAGCGACUGAUUGGAUGCGAGGGCUUCGCCGCCUAUCAAGUCCAGACAAACUCCGAAUGCGUAUCAGCCAAGACCGGGAGUAAGGGCGCGGGUGCUAAGGUCCGUGCCCGAGAGGAGAAGAAUCCAGACCGCCGGCUAAGGCCCCGAAAUACUGGUUAAGUUAGACUAACGAAGUCCGGUUCCCAUGACAGCCAGGAUGUUGGCU
rnacentral:rRNA from 1 species